AAACAAUAAAUAAAAUAUAUAUAUUUAAAAAAAAAGACCUUCCAGUCUGCCUGAUGUAUGAUCUCUAUCAUUCUGAGA